rnacentral:other from 1 species
AAAUUUCUGGUCUAUUCGUUACUAAUUAAUUGUUUUUGGGCUUUACUCCUUUUUUAAUGGGGUCAUCUCUUUAUAAAUUGUUUCAGAAAAAUCACGGCGGUAAGAAAACUUAGCACGGAUCCUGUACUUUUGUAAAUAUGACUACCACCUGUAACAUUUACAGGCAACCAAAAAUCAAAUUAGAACGGUAGACUGGAUUUUUU